UGCUCCGAUACUUGGGGAUGAAUUGAUCCUGCUGGAGAUCCUUCUUCCUGGUGAUUUUUUACUUGUGCAAACGAAUAAUCCAGGGAUCUCAGAAUUGAUGGGAGAGUGAAAAAUGGAAAGCUACAGUCGUAACCACUGCGGGAAUGUGUGGUUUCACACUGACUUUCGAUACCAAUCCCUCAUUGGCUCAUCGUCACGUGACCUUGGAUCAUCCAAGGGCGAUCUAUACACUUUAUUUCGUUUACUCGUUUGAUGAGUAAGAGUGACAUGUAAAUAAACUUAUGAUCAAUGUUGCAUCAUUUUUUGGAAAUUAUGAGUCUUAGGAAACGACGCACGAAUUAUUUCCUGAAUCGAUGAGAUAUAUCUAUGAAUUAUAUUUUGUUUAUAUUAGCAUCAGCUGUUUGUUAUUGUACUUAUGAAUAAAGAAUUUAAAUAAUUCCAACAA